GGGAAUGUAUGCCUUUUUUUAAUAUAUAAGAUGGAAUGGAACGAAUGCAAAUAAUGUUGCGUAAAAUAAAAUGCCACAUCAUAAAUGUUAAAAAAAUAUUUUUGUGGAAACAAUAAUUGCCACAUCAUAAAUGAUAAAAAAAAACUUUUUUUUUGUUAGCCCUAUGGUUUCCGGCGAAAAGAAAAUUCGAAAUUUGGUCGCGAGGUCAGUAAAAUCUAACAAAGAAUUAUUCUACUCAUGAAUCAAACUCGAAUUCUCUCCCGAACGAUUCGUCCUUUGGUGGAGCUCAUUGACAACAUGAGUUAAAUUGCUUGGUUGUUAGAAAAACAUUUUUGUGGAAACAAUAAAGAUGAUAUCAUAAUUAAAUGAUUGAACUAAAAUGAUUAAUAAACUCUUUAUAAAAUGAAUCGUUCGGAAAAAUUCGAGUUUGAUUCUUAAAAAACAACUCUUAAUUAGAUUUUACUUAUCGGAAAACAACUCUUAAUAAACUCUUAAUAUACAACGUUAAUUGCUAGCUCGCCUUGUCGGUAUGGUAAUCAUCUUAAGGUAUACCCUAGUUGGCACAGGUUCGAGUCCUAGCAAACAGGGUUGUGUUUGGAUUGAAAUGAUCAAUAAAUAUGAGGUAUUAUAAAAUACCUCUCUUUUUUGUUGCAGAGAUUCCAUUACUUAUAUUUUUGACAUGAGAUUCCAGUGUUAGAACUUUAGAAGGGAUGC
rnacentral:lncRNA from 1 species